CCCCCCCCCGCCCUGUGGAAUCGACGGGCUACGCUGUCCUCUGAUCUGCGGUAGGCUUCUAUUGUGAGUCAACCCUGCAGGUAACUGUGUGGCUCGAAAUCCAGGUCUGUGACUGAGGUCUAUAUGCUCUGGUGGUGGGUUCCAUUUGACAGGUAGGGAUCAGGAGCUUGGCCUCAGAUCUUGGCUGAAUAUGUAGAGAUUAAAUGAUUUGAAAAGCAUGGUUCCAUCUGUGUGUAAUUAGUACCCAGUGUGCUCUUGGUUCAGUUGGAGAGUGGCUGUCUGGUUUUAGAAGUCCUGUUUAGAAGACGACUUUUUUUUAUUUUUUAUUUUUUUGUUUUUCGAGACAGGGUUUCUCUGUGGCUUUUAGAGGCUGUCCUGGAACUAGCUCUUGUAGACCAGGAUGGUCUCGAACUCACAGAGAUCUGCCUGCCUCUGCCUCCCGAGUGCUGGGAUUAAAGGCACGCACCACCAACGCCUGGCCCUAGAAGACGACUUUAAAUGUGGACAUUGGUACUUGUCUGGAUUCAGCUGCUGGUGGGAACAAUAACUACAGGCGUUGAAUGAUGAACAGACUUGUCUGGCAGUGGAGUUCUUAGAUGAACAGUGCCAUUAGAGAGAGGGACAGGAGUCGGGGGUUUGGAUGGGAUGUUGAAACCGAGUGUAUGCCUGGCAUUGUGAUGUAUGCCUGUUACUCCAGCACUCAGAAGGCUGAGGCAGGAGGAUUGUGAGACUAAGACCAACCUGGCUUAUAUAGUGAGAUCUUGUGUUAAGAGUAUGGGGCUGGAGAGGCUCGGCUGUUAAGAGCACUUGCUUUGAAAUCACGAGGACCAAAGUUAGGAUCUCAGAACCCAUGAGCAUUACACACUUGCUUGUAACCUAACCUCUAAGAGGUUAGAGACAGGAGUACCAUGCCUCAAAGGAAUAGAUGGAAAGCAAUAAAGGAAGAUGCAGUGUGUAGGAGCACAGGUUUGCACGUUCCCACAGGUAUACAUACACUCGCACAAACACAUACAUGAAUAAAUAGAAAACUGAAAAUGUGAGGCUAGGUGGGUUUUCUUUGAUUUGGGAAGUUGGUCCAUGGCUGAGGCUUGCACCCUGUCACACCAUGCCCUCUGCUGGCAGAUAGGUUUAGCACCCUUAUUUUCUUCCUGCCUGUACUUGCUCCUCUCUUCAUGAUACCAAAAUACUGAAUUCUAAAGCAAAACACCUCUUACUGAAAACUAGCUGAUAAUAAUUUGUGAUGGCUCAGAAUUCCAGGAAGAAUUUUACAAAAGGAAAUCCAUUACCAUAUGAAUCUGUGCAUUUGGGGUGAGACACAAAUUUGGAUGCCACGAUCAGAAUUGCUCUUGCCACCCUUGGACAGGGUCUUGCUAUGUUAACCCAGGGUAGCCUGAAAUCACAAUCCUCCUGCCUCAGCUUCAUGAGUGCGGGGCUCACAGGUGGGUGCCACCUAGCUCAUUUUUGUUGUCUUUUUCCUCCCUUUCUUUUUUCUCCUCUUCUUUUUUCUCCUUUCUCCUCUUCUGCUUUGCAGUGCUGAGGGGCAAACC
ensembl:lncRNA